rnacentral:rRNA from 1 species
UGCCUGCCCAGUGAACCUGUUUUAACGGCCGCGGUAUCCUAACCGUGCAAAGGUAGCGUAGUCAUUUGUUCUUUAAUUGAGGACCGGUAUGAACGGCUACAUGAGGGCCUAACUGUCUCCUAUGGUUAACCAAUGAACCUGAUCUUCCAGUACAAAAGCUGGAAUAAACACAUAAGACGAGAAGACCCUGCGGAGCUUCAAACAACCCCUAAGCCCCCUUUAAGCCCCCCACUGGCACACUAUACAAGCGUAAUUAGGCAAGUUUUAAGUUGGGGCGACUAUGGGGUAAAACAAAACCCCCCUGACACAAACAUUUGUACAAGGUAGGCACACCAACAACAAAAAUAAUGACCCAGUCACACUGAGUAACGAACCAAGUUACCCCAGGGAUAACAGCGCUAUCCCCUUUAAGAGUCCUUAUCACCAAGGGGGUUUACGACCUCGAUGUUGGAUCAGGACACCCAGGUGGUGCAGCCGCUACCAAGGGUUCGUUUGUUCAACGAUUAACAGUCCU